GCCAGCCCGCUCAGAAACUUAAAGGAAUUAGACGGGGCCCGCGACAAGCGGAGGAACAUGUGGUUUAAUUCGAUGAUACGCGAGGAACCUUACCCGGGCUUGAAAUGCAUCUGACCGGCCUUGAAAGAGGUUUUCCUUCCCGGGGCAGAUGUGUAGGUGCUGCAUGGUUGUCGUCAGCUCGUGCCGUGAGGUGUCGGCUUAAGUGCCAUAACGAGCGCAACCUCAUCAUUAGUUACCAUCAGGUAAGGCUGGGGACUCUAAUGAGACUGCCAUCGUAAGAUGUGAGGAAGGUGGGGAUGACGUCAAAUCAGCACGGCCCUUACGUCCGGGGCGACACACGUGUUACAAUGGGUGGUACAAAGGGCAGCUACCUGGCGACAGGAUGCUAAUCUCCAAAACCACUCUCAGUUCGGAUCGGAGUCUGCAACUCGACUCCGUGAAGCUGGAUUCGCUAGUAAUCGCGCAUCAGCCACGGCGCGGUGAAUACGUUCCCGGGCCUU
rnacentral:rRNA from 1 species